GAGGAUAAAAGGCGCAGGAACCUUCCACUCCUUCCAUUUUCUUCUCCCAUCCAACCGAGGAUGCCGAUGACUCGAAUGUGCUGCUUUGAAAUGCAGGACAGAUGCCGGGAAGUCCAGAAGAAUGACACGUCUGCAUUACUUGUGACAUGACUUCCUGACUUCAAGGCAUCUGAACAGAAUCUCCACUUGGAGUUCCAUUCUGGAAUAGGAAUGUGUGCUGAAUACCUGAUUCCAGACAACGAGACUGAUGCGCUUUGAAAAUCCAGACGUGGGGAUGAAGUUUCCUGAAGGGAUUAACACUGCCUUCACUGGGUUUGGGUGCUGUGGUCCGUGGCAUUGCAGCGUGGACUCCAACGUACUGGUUCUUCUGUAUGUGGCUGAACAGGGAGCCGUGAUGCCAACUAGACUGGUCCUGAUGGUGGUACCAGACUGGUCACUAGAAGAUGCCUGGUACUGAACUACCUCAAGGUCCUGACUGUUGUACCAGACUGGCCACUAGAAGGAAGCUCUUUGCUGUGACAGUGAAUGAAGUUGAUGUCCUUGUGGGUCUGCAGUCUUCAGGCAGGUCUUGACUGUUCCAGCCUGGCCACUGGAGAACUGUUGCUGCACGACCUCAAGGUUUCUGCCCCUCUGGUUGAGGUGCUGGUGUCUGCAGGGUUUGGAAAGAUCUGAUUGGCUGCUGAAGUGUUGCUGUGCUGGUGGAGUGGGAAGCUCUCCUGUUUUACACCGGCAAGACCUCUUUACACUCCUGAUUGGUCAGCAAGGACAUCUCGAUGGAACUGGGGGAAACCAGGCCAAGUCGAUUCAACUUCACGACUGUGUUUUGAUGUAUGAAUAAAUCUACAAAUGAA